rnacentral:rRNA from 1 species
AAUGAACGCUGGCGGCAGGCCUAAAACAUGCAAGUCGAACGCUCUAGCAAUAGAGAGUGGCGCACGGGUGAGUAACACGUGGGAAUAUGCCUUUUGGUACGGAACAACGUCUGGAAACGGACGCUAAUACCGUAUGGUCCCUCCGGGGUAAAGAUUUAUCGCCAAAAGAUUAGCCCGCGUCUGAUUAGCUAGUUGGUGAGGUAAUGGCUCACCAAGGCGACGAUCAGUAGCUGGUCUGAGAGGACGAUCAGCCACACUGGGACUGAGACACGGCCCAGCCUCCUACGGGAGGCAGCAGUUAGGAAUAUUGGAAAAUGGGCGCAAGCCUGAUCCAGCCAUGCCGCGUGAGUGUUGAAGGCCUUCAGGUUGUAAAGCUCUUUAGUCCACGAAUAUAAUGACUGUAGUGGAAGAAUAAGCCCCGGCUAACUUCGUGCCAGCAGCCGCCGUAACAC